GACGGAGGAUGCAAGUGUUAUCCGGAAUCACUGGGCGUAAAGCGUCUGUAGGUGGUUUAAUAAGUCAACUGUUAAAUCUUGAGGCUCAACCUCAAAAUCGCAGUCGAAACUAUUAGGCUAGAGUAUAGUAGGGGUAAAGGGAAUUUCCAGUGGAGCGGUGAAAUGCGUAGAGAUUGGAAAGAACACCAAUGGCGAAAGCACUUUACUGGGCUAUUACUGACACUGAGAGACGAAAGCUAGGGUAGCAAAUGGG
rnacentral:rRNA from 1 species